rnacentral:rRNA from 1 species
UACGUAGGUGGCAAGCGUUGUCCGGAAUUAUUGGGCGUAAAGCGCGCGCAGGCGGUCCUUUAAGUCUGAUGUGAAAGCCCACGGCUCAACCGUGGAGGGUCAUUGGAAACUGGGGGACUUGAGUGCAGAAGAGGAAAACGGAAUUCCACGUGUAGCGGUGAAAUGCGUAGAGAUGUGGAGGAACACCAGUGGCGAAGGCGGCUUCUGGUCUGUAACUGACGCUGAGGCGCGAAAGCGUGGGGAGCAAACAGG